ensembl:lincRNA
CUUGAACCUGCGGUGCUCUCGCUUCAGCCUUCCAGAGUGCUGGAACUACAGGCUUUGUGCCACAUGCCCCGCAGAACAGUGACUCCAGGAGGUCCGUAGGCAGAGCGUGUCUACACCCUCAGGGCUGAAAAGGCUCCUAAACCGGGAGGCUUGGGCCUGCCCACACAUGGAGACUCCCAGCUACUCCAGUCACGGCUGAAACGGAAUCUACAUCCGACAUCUGGCUGCCUAAAAGUUAUGCCUUUCAGGUUCUGCAAGACAGAGCUCACAGAAGGAUUUUAUUCCCAUAUAUUCACAUGCAAAAACCUGGCGUGCAGCUAAAAAAGAAAAUAUUACCACCAUGCACCAGAAUGUUCUGAAAGUUAUCUCAGAAGUGUGGUUUGAACUCCGAUCUGGCCUCUGCCGCAUCUCUCUUCAUGUGAGGCUACUUUCUCCAGCUGUCACUGCAAGCCAGCCCUGGUCUGUCCAUGUCUAAACACCCAACACUCUUCCCGCCUCACACGCUUCCCUUAGUCUUGGACAUUCCCUGGCGUCUCUGGAGAGCUGAUACUUUGGUGCUCAGCAUAAACGGGAGGCUUUGUCUAGCCGUGGUAUUGAACCAGGGAGGAGGAACACAAGAAGUGUUGCCUGCCUUUAUCCUCACAAGAAAACCAGUCAGGAGACAGGCCUUGCUCCCGUGA